rnacentral:rRNA from 1 species
CUCAGGACGAACGCUAGCGGCAGGCUUAACACAUGCAAGUCGAACGGUAAGGCCCCUUCGGGGGUACACGAGUGGCGCACGGGUGCGUAACACGUAUGCAACCUACCCUUCAGCGGGGGAUAGUCGCGGGAAACUGCGAAUAAUACCCCAUACGAUCUUGGUUUGGCAUCGGACUGAGAUGAAAGUUCCGGCGCUGAAGGAUGGGCAUGCGUCCCAUUAGCUAGUUGGUGAGGUAACGGCUCACCAAGGCGACGAUGGGUAGCUGGUCUGAGAGGAUGAUCAGCCACACGGGCACUGAGACACGGGCCCGACUCCUACGGGAGGCAGCAGUGAGGAAUCUUGGUCAAUGGGCGGAAGCCUGAACCAGCCAUGCCGCGUGGAGGAAGACGGCCCUCUGGGUUGUAAACUCCUUUAGCUAGGGGCUAAAGUUGUGCUAUACGCAUGAUUGCAGGUACUUAGAGAAUAAGCGCCGGCUAACUACGUGCCAGCAGCCGCGGUAAUACGUAGGGCGCAAGCGUUGUCCGGAUUUAUUGGGUUUAAAGGGUGCGUAGACGGAUAUGUAAGUUCGUGGUGAAAUCGUCCGGCUUAACCGGAUACCCGCCAUGGAUACUGUGUAUCUUGAGUGUGGAUGAGGAAGUUAGAAUGCGUGGUGUAGCGGUGAAAUGCAUAGAUAUCACGCAGAAUACCGAUUGCGAAGGCAGACUUCUGGUCCAUAACUGACGCUGAGGCACGAAAGCGUGGGUAGCGAACAGGAUUAGAUACCCUGGUAGUCCACGCUGUAAACGAUGAUCACUAGGUGUUCGGCUAUUAUGGUUGAGUGCCCAAGCGAAAGCGAUAAGUGAUCCACCUG